GUCUAUAUUAACUAUUCUCUCCUUCUUUAUACUCUUCCAAAUUUCCUUAUCACUAAAGAGGCCACCACCAUUUCCUAGUCACCUAGUUUUGUAACCUCAAUGUCAUUCCUGGCCCCUAUCCUGCCUUCACUUCUCCUAUUCAACCUCUUGUCAAAAUCUUGUUGUUUCUACCUUCACAAUAUCUCGAGAGAAUUUCCUUCUCUCCAUUCACAUUUUCCACCACCCUGUUGCAAACUCGAAUCCUCUCUCACCUGAACUAUUGCAGUUGCCUCUGGUUGGUCUCCCCAAUCCAUCUACUCUGAUGCCAGUGGUUUUCCUAAAGUACAUGUCAUUUCUUUCCCUUCCUCCAAUAACCUUGAGUGACUUUUAAUUACCUCCAGCAUAAAAUGUUGCAUUUGUCAUUUAAAGACCUUCAGAACCUGAAUCCUUACUACUUUUCCAAUAUAAACUUUAUUCUCCUCCAUGCACUUUAUAAUGCAACAAUAUCUGCAUACCAUAUAACCAUCUCCUGUUUUUGUUUUGUUUUGUUUUUCCAGUGGGACUUCUCUGUGGCUGGGAUACUGCCCUUCUUUAUUCCCUGGCUUCCUUCAAGAAUCAACUUAAAUCCCACCUUUGAGAGCCUGGAAACUGGGUCUGAGAAUCUCUUACUCAGGAGUUUGCAGGCCUUCAAGCUAAGACUAAAGGAAGAAAACAAGGAAAGUCAGGAUUUCUGCUCUUUCUGGAAGAUUAUAGCAGUACUCUAGCCAAAGAUAUCAACUACACCAGAAGUUGAAGGCAUUGGAAACUAUAGCCAAACAAGGUCUGAAUGCACUCCUUAAAGAAGCAAGCCUACUGAGACUGUUGAGUAUUGAUCCCAGCAGAGACACUGCUCAGUGAGGAGCAGAAAGAGAACAAAUUCAGAAGACCCUCCCCCAUAUAUUUUCCAUAGGUGGACUUUUCCUGUGUCAUUUCUAUGAUGACUCCAAUAAUGAUGUUUAUGGUUGUAAGAGACAAUGCUCAAGAUUUAUGGGGAGAAAAUUCUAUUGUAAAUUGUCUUAUACUAUUUAAUUAAAUGUCUUUGUUUUGAACUGAUUGUGUUCU
rnacentral:lncRNA from 1 species